rnacentral:rRNA from 1 species
AACGAACGCUGGCGGCGUGCCUAACACAUGCCAGUCGAACGAGACCUUCGGGUCUAGUGGCGCACGGGUGCGUAACGCGUGGGAACCUGCCCUUAGGUUCGGAAUAACUCCCCGAAAGGGGUGCUAAUACCGGAUAAUGUCUUCGGACCAAAGAUUUAUCGCCUUUGGAUGGGCCCGCGUUGGAUUAGCUAGUUGGUAGGGUAAAAGCCUACCAAGGCGACGAUCCAUAGCUGGUCUGAGAGGAUGAUCAGCCACACUGGGACUGAGACACGGCCCAGACUCCUACGGGAGGCAGCAGUGGGGAAUAUUGGACAAUGGGCGAAAGCCUGAUCCAGCAAUGCCGCGUGAGUGAUGAAGGCCUUAGGGUUGUAAAGCUCUUUUACCCGGGAUGAUAAUGACAGUACCGGGAGAAUAAGCUCCGGCUAACUCCGUG